GGAAGUUAUUUAGGAAGCUGCAAGACUCUUCUUACCCCCCUGGGAUGGUUUGGCUUCAAACUGUGCCUUCCAAAGAGCAACUUGCAACUGGCGCGGCCUACUGCUUGUAUUGUAAUUUAUGAACCCAGUGGCUUGAAAGGUUCCUCCUGCUGCAAGGAUCAUGGUCAAAUAUCACCUGGCCCCAAACCUGAGUUUACCUGGGGAUCUACUCCAUGGAUUUGUUGAGAAGCUAAAAUCGUGAUGAUGGUACACAGUUAUCAUCCUGCCCCAUGUUCCUGCAAGUCCUCACAGAAGCAGUGUGGAUCCGAUGUUCCUGGUCCCUCGAUGAAGCAAUUCAGCUCUUCAUGCAACGCCCAGGACGUGUUAUGCUCCAUCUCAGCAAGAACGUAGAGCCAGAAUUCACUAUCAACUUGAAACACAGAAGAGCAUCCAAGGUCCUGAUCCAAGGUCGUUUCUGUUCUGCUCAACACUUUCACGUGGAGGCACCUGCUUGCUUCCUUGUCUGUAAUGAAAUCUGAACACAGGCUUAAAGAUCCGAAAGUCCAAGUGUUGCGACGAACGGAGAUGAACUGGUGGUUUGCCAUCCUGGGCUCAGCCGCUCAUCUCUCCUCAUCCUCUUCAGCAAAAAACGUGAGUAGCUGCAUUCAAAGCAGUACAUAGCAAUCAUCCAUCUCACCUUUGAAGCCUGAGUUUGUUGGCUUUUGGGCUUAAUCAUAACCAUUAGCUUCCAUUUAAUCUCUGAACCCAGUCACCCCGGCUCUCACAAACGUGCCAGCCGCCCUGUCUGCUGAGUCUGUAUAGCCACUGAGCCCUUGUUACCACUCAUUUGAUUUCUCCAUCACCUUUGUUGCCUUGCCUUGAUCCUCACCAUAACAUGGCUGGUUUAUGGUACCUUGCAGAGAAAUUUGGGGGUUCAUUUUCUAAUGCAAUGAGUUAUUUAUUUCUGACAUCCUAAUCUUCUUUUAAGAUCUUUUUUUCUUUUUUUCCUUUUUUUACUGAGCCUUUAGAACAGCAUAUUUCACUGUGUUUAUGUGGUAGAAGCACAUAAUAAAACUAUAACAACUAUUCUAGAAAUUUCA
rnacentral:lncRNA from 1 species